rnacentral:lncRNA from 1 species
GUCGUCCCUGGCAACACUGGCUGCUCUAGCGCCUGGCGGGGUCUCACGGGCGGGCCUGGGCGCACGGCCAAAGCGCCAGGUCUCCACCCCCAGCCCCCGGCGUCCUGCAGCCGGAGCCUGCCUCGCCUGGCUCCUGCGCCCGCCGUCCAGGGCCCCUGUCCAAGCUCGCGGACGCCGGCGGCGUUUUCCAGCUCGAGUGCUCAGCCUAGGGCAGGCUCUGCGUGCGCCCCCUCGAGUGCCGGCCUGGGCCCUGCCAGGCAGAGGCGCUCUUGCGUCAGGACGGCGCCGCCGGGGCCCCGCGAUUCCAACUCGGGGGUCCCGGAGCGGCGCGGGGCGGGGACGGCCUGGCAGCUCCCAGCAGCGAGGGGCGAUCCCCGCCCGCGCAGCAGACCCCGAGCUGCCCAGGCCCUUCCUGCGCCACGUGUACCCAGAGCUCCGCCCGGGGGAGACUUCGCUGCUUGUUGGAGAUGCCCAGCGGUAGGGGGCGAGGACUCGGGAGGAAGAUAAACGGGGGAUCCCGUGUCUGGACUUUCUCCUCCACCCUCUUCCCUUCGCAGCUGUGAAUCCUGGGAGGGGAAGGGUGGCCGCCCCGCCAGCAGAGAGCUGAAGGUGUUCCGUGGUCAGUGAGGGCUGGCACUGGCUCUGCACGAAGAUCUCCUCACCUCCCCAGCGGCUCCUGGCCAGCUCCCCACGGAGAGCCCAGGACACUUGUCCCUGGACACAGUGGUGCAGCCAUGCUUGGGCCAAACCAUGAGGCCACCAGAACCGCGAAAGGCUACUGUACUGAGAGGGAUACUGCGAGAGAGGCCCACAGGUUUCCAAGCAUCCCUCUCACUCCGCACACUCAUCUCCACGACCGGCUUUAAGUGCGGCCUUGAGGCCUGGCUCCCUGUUUGGACUUCUCUGCACCUCCAGGAGCUCACUUCCCGUCACAGCUGGAUGCCUCCUCCCGCAGGCACCUCCUUCUGUGGGACUGAGCCCCGCAGGCACUUCCCCGGCAUCCUCCCGCCCCAGGCUGCAGCUUCUGUGGGACUGACCUUAAGACCCCAUCGGUUCCUCCUGAGAGCAGCAGAUCUCAGCCAGAUGCUGCCGGGAGGGAGGUGCUAGCGUCCACACCCAGACGGGUCCAGUCCAGCCCUGCUCUCCCUGGUCUCCAGGCAGGGCCCUCCCAGGGUGGACAUUGCCCAUCUCUGCCUGGCCAGGGGCUGCUGACCCACUGGUUCCAGAGUCUGAGCCUGUCCUGCACAAGUACCAUGGACAGGGGUCAGCCGGGCACUGAAGAGGCGUGGCAGAAUUGGGCAGGGCAAGGGCCCCAGCUGGCAAGCUGGAGUCAGGGCAAUUCCAACCAAGAAACUGCGGCAGGCCGGGUGCAGUGUCUCAAGCCUAUAAUCCCAGCACUUUGGGAGGCAGUGGGAGAAUCGCUUGAGCCCGGGAGUUUGAGACCAGCAUUGGUAACAUAGAGACCCUAUCGCUACAAGAAAAAAAAAAAAAAAAAGCUGGGCAUGGUGGUGCACACCUGUUGUCCCAGCUAUUCAGGAGGCUGACGUGGGAGGAUUGCUUGUGCCCAGGGGUUGCAGGCUGCAGUGAGCUGUGAUCAUACCACUGCACUCCAGCCUGGGCGACAGAGAACCUCUCUAAAAAAAAAGGAAAAUGAAAAAUAAAUGGGGGCAGAAGCUGAGCCAAGCAGAGGCGGGCAGCUCCUCCUCCAGGGCCCACCUGGCCUGCUGGGGACUCACUCCAAACCGCUUCAUUUUUGGAGGGGGCUUUCCAGGACUGAGAGGUGUCAGAGCUGCUGGUGACAGGAGCAGGGAAAGCACCAUCUGGCCAGCCCCCAGGGGCCCCCUGUAGGGUUCCUCUGCCUGGCAGCGUUUCGACGCUUCUUGGCAGGAUCCUUGGGUCCUUGGCCCCCGGCACCAUCUCCCUCCUUGACCUGCUGAGGCCCACAUAAAACAUGUUGCUACUUGGGGUGGGCCCGUCCUCACGCUCUGUGGCUUCCUGGGUGUCCACCUCCCCACAGCCUGCCUCACCUACCUCCCCAGACUUCUCACGCACGUCAGGAGCCUCCUGUGGACUCUGGCUCUACCUGCCUCUGGCCUCUGCUUAAUCAGGAACCCACAGUGGGAAAGCUCCUAGGGCCCGCCUGCUGAAGCAAACGCCUCCUUGCAAAGCCCGUCUGCAGCCCCCCACACACCUCCUCACCUCCCUGUGCUUCCUCUGGAGCCCAAGACCAGUCUGCCUCACUUGAAACCCGCGUCGCCUGCUGGCUUCCCUUGUGUCCCCGGACCAGAAGCACCUUUGGCAGCCCCGCGCCCCUCGUCUUGCUCUGCGUCAGCACCUGAGAAUGGGCGCUAGCAGGGAAACUGGCUUUGAGGGGAAUGGUCGGGGCAGCUUUGGUCCUGGGACAGGCGUGUGGCCUGUGGGACAAUCUCUUCUGGGGGCACCUCUGCCCAGGUGGGAGGAGUUGCCAGGGUCUCCCAGCACUGCCAGGCGCUUUGCUGGGGCAGGGGGUUAUUCUAUUGCUCACAGCCCUGACACAAGGGCAUUCCCCACCCGCCCUGAUGCCCACAUCCACCCAUACAGGAGGGGGCCUUCAGGGGAGCCUGCAGGGACUCCCGGCCCAGCACCGUCCAUCUGUGUCCCCCGCUUAGCUCCUGCACUGCCAGAUCUCAGCCAGACAGCAGGGACUCACCCCACCUACCGUCCCCUUUGUGCCUGGGUGUGGUGGGUACUCGUUUUAUGGGGAGUGGCCAGGACUCUUGCCAGGGGGAGAGUGGCGGUGGAGGAUGUACCCAUGCCAUCUGCCCUGCCGCAGCGUUUCCUCCCUGUUCCCCUGCAUGUCUUCCCUCCCUCGGGGGAAACGCAGGAUUCUGUUCCCCAAGCGCCCUCUACACGCCCCAUAUAUACCAAGCAUGGUUCUGCAGUGAGCCUAUGGGGUCUCUGGAAAUGAGUUCCCGGGAUAAGUUCCAGAAAGUUGCUCAGCUCUCCUAACCCCUGCACACCCUGGAGCCCCCUGCAUACCCUGACUCCUGGCGCACCUGGGACCCCCCUGCACACCCUGACACCCUGCUGCUACCCAGCCCAGCUCCCCUCACACAGUGUGCACUGCCUCUGGAGGGAAGGGGGCCUCAUCUUGCUGUCUCCAUACUCAGUAACUAUGUGUUGGUUGAAGGAACCAGAGCACCCCUGGCCCUUGUAACCCAACCCUCAGCAGCUCCUCCAAUCCUGUGGGCCUCCUGGAAUGGGUGAUUGUAUGUGUCCACUUGACUGGGCUACAGGGUGCCUGAGUGUUUGGUCAAACAUUAUUCUGUUUCUGGCAGGGGUGGGGAGGGGUUGCAUGAGACUAACAUUUGAAUCUGUAGACUU